GCGCGCGGGGUUGGCUGCCGGGAGGUCGACGCUAGUGCGGUCCCCCGCGCGGCGGAGGGGCCCGGGCCGCGGUAUCUGCGCACUGAGACGUCGGCGGAAGGCUAGAGGCCGUGCUCUCGCCCCCGCAGAAGGCCACCACUCCUUGAGAAGGCCGGAGGGACAAAGCACCGGGCCUGCGCCGGGGGCAUUCAAGAAGGAAGCCAGGCCCGACCGGGGGUGGCGCACGCUUCCCGAACCCCAGGCCCACGGCCCGGUUCCGCGCGGGCAGUUGGCGCCCCCUCGGGUCGGCACAGCAGACCUCUUAACAGGGACUGAGAAACGGAAAUACUACCAUCCUCCAGCCAAUCUGUUGGGAGGACUGCUUGCAGAGGACUCGUGCUCCAGAUGUUGCACUAGAGGCGCUGCAAGUGUGAGCAGCAGGUAGAUGAAACUCAAGAGAAAAGGUGUGGAUAAAUGAAACUAGCCCAUGAUGAACCUGUUUUCUCCGUGACCACAAUAUUAACCAGGAUGAAUGGCGGUGGCAGUGGGCCUGCAUCACAGGUUGCAGCAGAUGUUCUCAAUAUUUCUAUUAAAAUUUCCUUAUUUCCAUAUGCAAGAGGAGCCCCAGAGCUGCAUCCUUAUGGUAGCUACCAUGCCGUGAUGUAAGCUGCCAUUCACUGGGGAGCUUUGGCAAUAGAAUUGGCUAGAUCAGGAAGCCUAUGUCAACUAUGGAACAACAACUUGCAGCUCAUCUCUAUUGAUGAUACACUGCCUCUAGGACUGGGACAGAUAGCCACUGAGUACCUGCUUCAAAUCACCCUGCACGUUUUCUCUUUGGAAAGAUAAGCACUGGAGAACCAUCUCGUUACCUUCAGCAGAAAUGGAAACAAAUCAAGACAUUAAGAAUGCCGCAGUGGACAGCAGUUAUGCAAGGUUCAGCAGAGGAAGUUUUCAAGAUGGUGUGCCUCACUAGCCAGAAAUCAGAAAAGAUCGAAGCUAG
rnacentral:lncRNA from 1 species